rnacentral:rRNA from 1 species
UGUAGGUAUCUGCCCUUUGGCCUGGAAUAACACGAGGAAACUUGUGCUAAUACCGGAUAAGUCUUUACGGAGAAAGCUUUACUGCCACCAUUGGAUGCACGCCUGCUCUUGAUUAGUUUGUUGGGGGGGUAAUGGCCUACCAAGACUGUGAUCAAUAGCUGACUUGAGAGGAUGAUCCGCCACGUUGGGACUGAUACACGGCCCCAACUCCUACGGGAGGCAGCGGUGGGGAAUCUUGCACAAUGGAGGAAACUCUGAU